GUGGGGAAUUUUGGACAAUGGGCGCAAGCCUGAUCCAGCCAUUCCGCGUGCAGGAUGAAGGCCUUCGGGUUGUAAACUGCUUUUGUACGGAACGAAAAGGUUCUCUCUAAUACAGGGGGCUGAUGACGGUACCGUAAGAAUAAGCACCGGCUAACUACGUGCCAGCAGCCGCGGUAAUACGUAGGGUGCAAGCGUUAAUCGGAAUUACUGGGCGUAAAGCGUGCGCAGGCGGUGAUGUAAGACAGAUGUGAAAUCCCCGGGCUCAACCUGGGAACUGCAGUUGUGACUGCAUUGCUGGAGUGCGGCAGAGGGGGAUGGAAUUCCGCGUGUAGCAGUGAAAUGCGUAGAUAUGCGGAGGAACACCGAUGGCGAAGGCAAUCCCCUGGGCCUGCACUGACGCUCAAGCACGAAAGCGUGGGGAGCAAACAGGAUUAGAAACCCUAGUAGUCC
rnacentral:rRNA from 1 species